GAGCUCACUUCACAGCACAUAUACUAAAAUUGGAACGAUACAGAGAAGAUUACCAUGGCCCCUGUGAAGGGAUGACAUGUAAAUUCAUGAAGCGGUCCAUAUUUUC